UACGAAGGGGGCUAGCGUUGCUCGGAAUCACUGGGCGUAAAGGGUGCGUAGGCGGGUUUUAAGUCAGAGGUGAAAUCCUGGAGCUCAACUCCAGAACUGCCUUUGAUACUGAGAAUCUUGAGUUCGGGAGAGGUGAGUGGAACUGCGAGUGUAGAGGUGAAAUUCGUAGAUAUUCGCAAGAACACCAGUGGCGAAGGCGGCUUC
rnacentral:rRNA from 1 species